GUCCUUGUGGUGCAAUGGAAAGCAUAUUGGACCUCUAAUCCAAAGGACGUGGCGUCGAAUCCUACCUGGGAUG